AAUCAACGCUGGCGGCGUGCCUCAGACAUGCAAGUCGAACGAUUAAAGCUCUCUUCGGAGAGUGCAUAGAGUGGCGCACGGGUGAGUAACACGUAAGUAAUCUACCUUCGAGUGGGGAAUAACGUCCGGAAACGGACGCUAAUACCGCAUAAUGCAGCGGCAUCGCAAGAUGACAGUUGUUAAAGGAGCAAUUCGCUUGAAGAGGAGCUUGCGGCAGAUUAGCUAGUUGGUAAGGUAAUGGCUUACCAAGGCUACGAUCUGUAACCGGUCUAAGAGGACGGUCGGUCACACUGACACUGAAUAACGGGUCAGACUCCUACGGGAGGCAGCAGUCGGGAAUUUUGGGCAAUGGGCGAAAGCCUGACCCACGCAACGCCGCGUGAAGGAUGAAGUAUUUCGGUAUGUAAACUUCGAAAGAAUAGGAAGAAUAAAUGACGGUACUAUUUAUAAGGUCCGGCUAACUACGUGCCAGCAGCCGCCGUAAC
rnacentral:rRNA from 1 species